rnacentral:tRNA from 5 species
GGUCCGUUGGAGUAGCGGCAACUCAUCUGACUCUCACUCAGAAGAUCGCGGGUUCGAUCCCCGCACGGACUAC